CUCACAAAGGAAGGUGUCUGGGUAUCAGAUUCUCUCUUCCCAGGAAGUGCCUUUGGAAAUUUACUUACUGCCUACUGAGAAGCCCUGCAAGCUGAAAGGCUAGCUCUGAAGGUAUGUUCAUCAACAUCGUAGAAGAAGAGGACACGUGUUUCGCACUGCACUCUUUAAGAGGAGAAACGGAAAUAACAGGGAAAAGUUUUUAAAACUUCAGCAGGUUUCCCUUUGCAGUUUCUGACUUAGCCAGAAGACAUCAGGCAAAAGGAACAUCUCCAUACUCGUCCUGAAUUCUUUUUUGCAUGAGAUCCAAGAACCCUCUCUUGUGGUCUGGAGCAGGACCCCUUUGUGCAUGCCUUGUAAUUUUUUGUUGAAAGCUGGACCUGAUAUACAGCAUAAAAGGAACCAAGAAUGGUACCUGUCAGGCCUCUGAGCCCAAGUUAAGCCAUCAUAUCCCCUGUGACCUGCACGUAUACAUCCAGAUGGCCUGAAGCAACUGAAGAUCCACAAAAGAAGUGAAAAUAGCCUUAACUGAUGACAUUCCACCAUUGUGAUUUGUUCCUGCCCCACCCUAACUGAUACGAUAUGUUCUCCCCUGACCUUAAGAAGGUACUUUGUAAUAUUCUCCCCACCCUUGUGAAUGUACUUUGUAUGCCUAUCCCAAAUCUAUAAGAACUAAUGAUAAUCCCACCACCCUUUGCUGAAUCCUUUUUCGGACUCAGCCCGCCCGCACCUAGGUGAAAUAAACAGCCUUG
rnacentral:lncRNA from 1 species